AAAACUUUAAGUUAAUCAAACUAAUAAUCUUCAAAAUUAUAAAUAAAUUAUUAUUUAAGUUUUA
rnacentral:tRNA from 1 species